GGGGAAGGUGACGGCCGCAGGGCAGUUUGCUCCGUUUUGCUGACUCACAUGAAUCAAAGAAGAUACAUUUUAAAUUUGGGUUGAAUGAGAAGAGCAAUAGCAAGUAUAAAAGCACAAUUCUAGGUUAAGAAGCCACAAGGAUAAAGAUCUUCACCCUCCUGCCCCAUGCCUUAUGAAUUUGUAGAGACAAGAGGAAGAUUUUACAAUUUCAAAAUCCACAAACUUGUUUGGAGAUGAAGUGAUGGAGAAAGAGACUAAAGAUGUGCCCAAGACAAGUACAGCAAGUGAGAA